GAUGAAGAACGCAGCGAAAUGCGAUACGUAAUGUGAAUUGUAGAAUUCAGUGAAUCAUCGAGUCUUUGAACGCACAUUGCGCCCCCUGGUAUUCCGGGGGGCAUGCCUGUCCGAGCGUCAUUGCUGCCCUCAAGCACGGCUUGUGUGUUGGGCCUCCGUCCUCCUCCCGGGGGACGGGCCCGAAAGGCAGCGGCGGCACCGCGUCCGGUCCUCGAGCGUAUGGGGCUUCGUCACCCGCUCUUGUAGGCCCGGCCGGCGCUUGCCGACACAUCAAUCUUUUUUCCAGGUUGACCUCGGAUCAGGUAGGGAUACCCGCUGAACUUAAGCAUAUCAAUAGGCGGAGGA
rnacentral:misc_RNA from 1 species